UAUGUAUAUAUAUAUAUAUAUAUAAUGUGUGUAUAUGUAAUAUAUAUAUAUAAUAUGUAUAUAUAUAUAUAUAACGUGUAUAUGUAUAAGAUUGGUUCAAAGGAAAGCAGCGAUUGUGUCUUAGAUCUGGCUGCCUUCAAACACUCCUUUGGAGAUUCGUUGAAAUACUUCAGAAUAAUAAUAGUAGGAAAGAAUAAUAGUAGGUGUAAUAGUAGAAGCGAAAAGAAAAAGUAAUAUAUCACGAGAUCAUCGGUAACUAAAAAAUCCCACAGCCUUUGGGAGGGAAGCUAUUGUUACAAUCUCUUAAAAAGAUCCGGACGAUCGGAUAGGUAAAUGACAGGCAGACCGAGAUAUAGUGUCCGCUUGAACCCACGAUCGUUAUUUACAGGACGGCUCUGAGUGAUUUUCGUUCCGACCAGAAUCGGGGAUGAGAACGAAUGGGAACGUAGAAUCCUUUGAAAACGGAAAGAUUGAUUGAUACACUUCAAAAAGUUUCCUACAGUCGAUCACUUCACCAUAAAAUAUCACAUAAUAACAAUUCUUGUUUGUGUUGUUGGUCCGCCUGUCAUCGAAGAAAAUUAUUUUGUAUAGGUUGUGUACUGUUGCUCCUCUAAGUAUCGCUCGAUCGCGUCCUCCGGAUUUUGUGAUGUAACAAAGCACUCUUGCUACGGCUCGACGAUCUCUUUAAACACAGUUUACGAGGCAGUCACUGUACAAUAAUUUUGUGUACGCAAACGAAUAUCGAACACGAGUAAAAUCGUUGGAAUAGAAUCACCGUUGCAGCGAUGGAGGACUGGUCGACGCGAUAAACGAGUAGUCCCGGAUCAGCUGCUCGUCAAAACAAAGCACUCGCGCGUACACGAAAGGCUAACAAUCUUUUCUCUGAAUCUCUGUUACGUUGUCUAGACUCGGACGGAGAUCGACACGAACGACAGUAUUCUAUGCUUGUUCAUAGAUGAAAAAACCCGACGCGAUAUCACACAGGACGCCAGGAUCUUGUUUUAUAUCGUGACGAACCGUGUAUACGCUGAGAAUGACGUACCGACCACACAAACAAUGCUGCGCCACUCGCACGGGAACGUAUGCGCAGAGAUCGAAGCACGAAACAAAGAAACUCCACUUUCGCUACGGAUUUUCUCGUUUAUGCCUUUAUUUGUUGUAUCUUCCGUUCAGAUAUUGUUACUGACACUUGUGUGCUUCACGUUGCUGCCGAAUUUUCACCGCGAAUGCGCCGAACGCUUGCCCGAGAAUGUCCACUUUUAUAAAGCUCUUGCACCGUGCCAAAGAGAGAAGGUAGGGGGGCAACUAGCUUGGCGCAGUCCCGUUCGACAUUUUGCUCUGACGCAUCGCGUCGCCAGCUGUUUACUGCCGAGUCCAGGCCUGGUCGAGCACGGAGGACAGAACGUCUGCUCUCUGUGUGCUUAGCUUACGCAGAUAUUCCACUCGCCUCUCAGCUGUUCGUUCGCGAUCGACGCGCCAUCUCAACAGUACAAAGAUGGCGUGUGCGAUGCGUGCAAUAGUUUGAACAUGUGCGUAGUUAUAUUGUAAAAAUUUUAAGUUGAACGUUUUAUUUUCAUCCUUUUUCCAUUCCCUUUUACAUUUUUAUAGAGUGUGUGAGUACUUUGUGAUGAAAUUCGAUAACAGAUUUAGUGUAUUGUGUGUAUCAUGAAUGAAUGUUGAAACUUCCUAUUCCUUGGGUAUCCAUGUCGUUUGAACCGUGUCAUGCGCAGCAAUUGGUCGUUGAUGAAAUGGAAACCACUGUUAUUCCUCCUCAAUUGAAAUAUACUGCAUUUUAAGAAAUAUAAUCCCUGGUGGGGUGGCUCGAUAGCCGCGGCUAAUAUCGAUCGAUCACGAAACCAUCGGGCGAGCAACAAUGUGAUGGCGAUGAAAACACUAUAGAAAUAUGGGAGAGGGGGAAAACUUUCCUUGGACGAAAUCCAAUUCCGAUUAAAAGGCGCAAUCGGAGGGGGGAGAUUCAGGAGGAAAAUUCGAUCGAGGAAAGAGGAUUAUUAUUACCCCCGCCGAGAAUUGGAGGGAAUCGUCGAAAAUCCUGGGAAAUUCGGUAGGAAUUUCGGUAGGACUCCGCCGCGUCCGUGAACUAGGUCCUAAACGGCUCGGUUCCCAGUGACCCGGACUCGUUGUCCUUGCACUCGGUGGCCCACUUUCAGGAUUCCCGCCCUUCCCCAGAUCGAUUAGACGUGUAAGAGAGUAAAAAUUUAACGAAUCGAGAUCGAGGGGAUCGCGGUGGCAACGUUUUCUUUAAUCAUCCGUGACCCGAAAUCCAAGGUAUUUGAGAAGUAUCGUUGAAAUUCCACGGAUGGAAAGGAGCGGUCAAGCCACGGAUGGAAUCGGGCCGUGGAAAAUGGAAAACGGGCACAACAACUCGCGACCCAAAAAUACUUGAUAAAAAUCACCACGGUCGUUACGAAGAGCGCAGCUGCAAGCAUCACCAAAGAAAACACACGGAAAUAGAGCGGACACGAAGCUAGAGCGCGUACACUUUGAGCGCGCGCGAGUGAGCCGAGCCGCUUGUGUCACCGAUUGCGAGAUCGAGAAGGAGGAAGCGAGAGAUCGAGCGAAAUUUCCGAGAAAUUCGAGAAAUCCGCCAUUCGAUAAAAGUCCUGCAUUAGGAAGUAUACACAAACAGGAAUAUGGAAUAAGGAGGGAUGAUGGAACACAUUUACAUGCAUGUCGGACGAUCCAUGUAGUACAUAUUUUGAAUGUAGGGUGGAAUAUGUGCGCACUGGAUGGAAAAUCGAGGUGUGGCAGCAUUUACCGGAAAAUCGAAGGCAACUACUUCUCUAAUACGCUUCGCAAAAUUCAAUAGAUUCUACUUUCGACAACAGAAACGGGUCACCCGUGAGUUUAUGCAACUAUACGUUCAAAUAAAAGAUGGAAUUACAUUUCUUCUCUUAUAUCUUUCUAUUGAGAUAAUCGUUGUUAUCGACUUUGCCCAUCGAGCUAUGGUUACCGGAUGAGGAAAGAUCAGAUCAGUUCCGGUUUGACGCUAUUCUUCAGAAAGGAUAUUCAAUUUUCUGUUCUAAUUUAAAAUUGCGCAUGAAUUUCAUGUUUAAGAUGUAUUUUUAUGCGCGAAUACAACAAUUUUAUGUACUUUACGAAA